rnacentral:rRNA from 1 species
GAUGAACGCUGGCGGCGUGCCUAAUACUUGCAAGUCGAGCGAACGGACGAGAAGCUUGCUUUUCUGAUGUUAGCGGCGGACGGGUGAGUAACACGUGGAUAACCUACCUAUAAGACUGGGAUAACUUCGGGAAACCGGAGCUAAUACCGGAUAAUAUUUUGAACCGCAUGGUUCAAAAGUGAAAGACGGUCUUGUUGUCACUUAUAGAUGGAUCCGCGCUGCAUUAGCUAGUUGGUAAGGUAACGGCUUACCAAGGCAACGAUGCAUAGCCGACCUGAGAGGGUGAUCGGCCACACUGGAACUGAGACACGGUCCAGACUCCUACGGGAGGCAGCAGUAGGGAAUCUUCCGCAAUGGGCGAAAGCCUGACGGAGCAACGCCGCGUGAGUGAUGAAGGUCUUCGGAUCGUAAAACUCUGUUAUUAGGGAAGAACAUAUGUGUAAGUAACUGUGCACAUCUUGACGGUACCUAAUCAGAAAGCCACGGCUAACUACGUG